rnacentral:lncRNA from 1 species
AAGAGAUUCUAAUGCAUUCAUUUAGGCUUAAUAAUUUUCCCAGUCAAAAAUCAUGACCCCUUGGCCAAGUGUGGUGGCUCAUGCCUGUAAUCCCAGCACUUUGGGAGGCCGAGGCAGGUGUACCACCUGAGGUCAGGAGUUCAAGACCAGCCUGGCCAACAGGGCGAAACUUCUUUUCUACAAAAAAUACAAAAAAAAUAGCCGGGUGUGGUGGCACAUGCCUGUAAUCCCAGCAACUCGUGAGGCUGAGGCAUGAGAAUGGCUUGAAACCAGGGGAGGCGGGAGGUGGGGGGAGCUGGGGGUCGGAGGUUGCAGUAAGUCAAGAUCGCGCCACUGCACUCCAGCCUGGGUGACAGAGGAAGACUCCAUCUCAAAAAAAAAAAAAAAAAAAAAAAGAAAUCAUGACCCCUGACUGGGGCUGUGACUUAUGUCCAUAAUCUGAGCACUUUGGUAGGCCAAGGCAGGAGAAUUGCUUGAGGCCCCAAGUUUGAGACCAGCCUGGGUAACAUAGUGAGACCCACCCCCCCCACCCACCUCCUCACCCUCAUCUCCACAAAAAAUACAAAAAUUAGCCAGGCACGGUGGUGCGUGCCUAUAGCUCCGGUUACUCAGUGGGCUGAGGCAGGAGGAUUGCUUGAGCCACAGAGGUCUAGGCUACAGUGGGUCGUUAUUGUGAAACUGUACUCCCAGGCUGGGAGGCAGAGGGAGCUCAAAAAACACACACAAAAAAGCAAAAACAGAUGAAGCUACCCCUCCUAUCCUCACCCCCACCCCAACUCCCUCUGAUGGUUUUCAUGCAAGAGGUCUGCAAAUGCACUUUGAGAAACUCUGCCUGUAUCUUAUUGUCAAGUUGUUAAUAUUUAUCUUUAUAAAAUGUAUCCUAAAUAUAUGCAUGCAGAAUUCUGGAUCAGAGAUAGAUUUCAUAUCAAACACCUCAUAGUAAAUGUAAUAAGUGCGCUGGUACCCCUAGCUUCAGUCUUACUCCUGAGGUAACGUGAUGAGAGCCAGGUCAAUUGUCCUACAGGAGAAGGCAAGAACAAGGAAACUGAUUUCUCCUGUUCCUAAAAGGGUAGGAGGCAGUUGCCCCCUCCGCUCCUGAGAAAGUCUCCUCCUUAUCCAAUCCUUUUGUGUGGAAAUAAAAUCUAGCCAGAAGCUGGAUAGCUUGGGUGUCUCUGCCUUAAUGAUCUUGAGACUUCUUUAAAUUCCCAGCCUUGGCAGGAUGUGGUGGCUCACACCUGUAAUUCCAGCAUUUUGGGAGGCCAAGGCAGGCUGAUCACUUGAGACCAGGAGUUCGAGACCAACCUGGCCAACAUGGUGAAACUCCAUUUCUACCAAAAAUACAAAAAUUAGUUGGGCAUGGUGGUGCAGGCCUGUAAUUGCAGCUACUUGGGAGGCUGAAGCAUGAGAAUUGCUUGAACCCUGGAGGCCGAGGUUGCAGUGAGGCGAGAUUGCACCACUGCACUCCAGCCUGGGCAACAGAGAGAGACUCUGUCUCCAAAAAAAAAAAAAAAAAAAAAAAAAUUCCCAGCCUUGUUUCUCUCUGAAAUGCAGAUACCUAGAAAUGUAGUAUUGCUGCUUCUCUUGCAACUUGGGCUCAGCCUAAGGUACCUACUCAGGCUGUAACUCUUUGGUUCACCUGGGGAGAUAAGAGAAGUUAGUACUGUUUCCGAUCAGAACAAUUAACUAGACAAAUGGCUACAGAUGAAGGCUAGGGCUUCUUAUAGAAACACCGAAAAAAAUUCAGGGAAGUUUUCUUUUUCGCCUCUUAUUUACCAGGAGGAGAAGGAAAGAGAAACUUUCUAGCUGAUCAAAGCUGCAGUAGAAGAAAUUCUUUCACGUGGACCUUAUGAUUUAGCAAAUUCAAUAGUGCCUGUGCUCUAUUGGGAUGGGUUAUGGAACUUGUGUAAAACCCUGGUGGAUUUAAGCUGUAAAGCAGCCAUUUUUAUGAAUGGAUAUCCAGUAACAACAACUGUCAGGAAGGCAGGAAGGCAGGAAGGCAGACUUCCAUGUUUAAGUAAAUAGAUGUUUCAUGAGACACAUGAAACAGAACCUCAUACUUCUGUGGUUCUUCAUAUAAAAACAAAAC